rnacentral:rRNA from 1 species
CACUAGUGAUUGGUGUUCUUCCCGAUAUCUACACAUUCCACCGUUACACCGGGAAUUCCAGUCUCCCCUACCGCACUCAAGCCCGCCCGUACCCGGCGCGGAUCCACCGUUAAGCGAUGGACUUUCACACCGGACGCGACGAACCGCCUACGAGCCCUUUACGCCCAAUAAUUCCGGAUAACGCUUGCACCCUACGUAUUACCGCGGCUGCUGGCACGUAGUUAGCCGGUGCUUAUUCGAAAGGUACACUCACCCGAAGGCUUGCUCCCGAUCAAAAGCGGUUUACAACCCGAAGGCCGUCAUCCCGCACGCGGCGUCGCUGCAUCAGGCUUGCGCCCAUUGUGCAAUAUUCCCCACUGCUGCCUCCCGUAGGAGUCUGGGCCGUAUCUCAGUCCCAAUGUGGCCGGUCGCCCUCUCAGGCCGGCUACCCGUCGUAGGCUCGGUGGGCCGUUACCCCGCCGACUACCUGAUAGGACGCGACCCCAUCCCAUACCGAUGAAAUCUUUCCCAGAAGGACAUGCAUCCAACUGGAGCAUCCGGCAUUACACCCGUUUCAGGAGAAUCGAAU